CUGAUUAAAGCUUGCAGUCACCGAGGAGCGAGGAAAGUCUUGCAGCUUCCUGCGAACUCUUCUCUCGUUAUUUAAUAUUAUUCGGUAUUUUUUGUUUUGUUAAAUUAAUUAUUUUAAACAAUCGCAUCAAGCAACAGGACUCCCAAGCGCUACACGGUCUGAUCACACAGCUGUGUAUACGUGCAGUCAGAUCUCCUGCCGUUUGUUAUUUACUGGAUCCUACAGUCAGGGAUUAUUGUAAAUCCUACAGUUUUUUUUUGUUUGUUUGUUUUUUUGGCUGCAACAUUGUGAACAUCGUGCACGAAGUGUUCAGCAGAGGCCUGUGCAGUUACUAAUCGGGAAUCAAUAUGUCACUGCCUAAUAAAGUCACUGGGAAAGUGAGGAAGAAAGUUGCUAUCAAAAUUAAAUUGGAAGACGUCAGACAGAAGGAACACAACCCAACACCACCUCGAAACCUGGACUCCAGGACUUUUAUUACUAUUGGAGACAAAAACUUUGAGGUGCAGGCGGAUGAUCUGGUGUCGAUCUCUGAGCUGGGACGAGGGGCCUAUGGGGUGGUGGAGAGAGUUUGGCAUGCACAGAGCGGGACCAUAAUGGCUGUUAAAAGAAUCAGAGCAACAGUAAACAGCCAGGAACAGAAGAGGCUGCUGAUGGACCUGGAUAUCUCCAUGCGGACAGUCGAUUGUCCCUACACAGUCACCUUUUAUGGAGCUCUUUUCAGAGAGGGUGACGUGUGGAUUUGCAUGGAAUUGAUGGACACCUCCCUGGAUAAAUUCUACAAGAAGGUGAUCGAAAAAGGAAAAAAAAUACCAGAAGAUAUUCUAGGAAAGAUGACUGUGUCUAUUGUCAAAGCAUUAGAGCAUUUGCACAGCAAGCUGUCGGUGAUUCACAGAGAUGUAAAGCCUUCAAAUGUCCUCAUUAACAAUGAAGGCCACGUGAAGAUGUGUGAUUUUGGGAUCAGCGGGUACCUGGUAGAUUCUGUUGCGAAGACUAUGGAUGCUGGCUGCAAACCCUACAUGGCUCCCGAAAGGAUAAAUCCAGAGCUUAAUCAGAAGGGAUACAAUGUCAAAUCUGACGUCUGGAGUCUGGGAAUCACGCUGAUUGAGUUAGCGAUUCUUCGCUUUCCCUACGAGUCCUGGGGGACCCCAUUCCAGCAACUGAAGCAGGUGGUGGAAGAGCCUUCCCCGCAGCUCCCAGCGGACCGCUUCUCCAAGGACUUUGUGGAUUUCACUGCUCAGUGUUUAAAAAAGAAUUCCAUGGAAAGAAUGAACUACCUUGAGCUUAUGGAGCACCCCUUCUUCAAACUACACGACACCAAGGAAACAGACGUGGCCUCCUUUGUGAAAGAGAUCUUGGCUGAAGACCAGAAUUGACCUCUCCUCUCCUGCUCGCUUUUGCAAUCUCCAGAUCAUCAUGAAAGGAAUACAUUGUUUCAGUUGAAAAAGUCCCCUGGGUCGACGUUGUCAAUACCUUUUAGGAUUAAAACACACAUUCUUCAUCCAAGAACCACUUGGUGAACUACAAUCAGCUGUCUUGUGCUUUUGGCCUUGUAUUUUAAAUGAUACAUACCUCUACUACGAUACAAAAAAACUAUGUUAAAGAAAAUAUCGCCCCUAGUAAAUACAUGUUGUUUGAAACAUAUCAGCAAACAACUUGCGACCCAUAAAACCUACAAAAUGACUGCAUCCAAUAUAUAACUAUAACCCAGAAACUAAGCAUUACGUCAGAACCUCUGUGUCUACUAUUAAAGGCAUGGACCUUGACAAACAGAAAGUACAGACUGACAUAAAGAGAGUGGCACCCAUUGAGGGUGAUUCAUCGCCUUUCGUUGUGCAAUGCAACUUGGUUUCCAUACACAUUUCGGGAUGCUGCUGCUAACUCCCAAACUUCAUUUGGCACAACAUAUAUUUCCAUUAUUGUUAUUACUGUUAUUUUAAGAGUCUGUGGAAUAGAAUAAUACCCCUUCAUAUAGUGAUUUAGGAGCUAAUUCACACUUGGUUUUGGCAGUUUUUUUCAAAUUGAGUGAGGUUUAGUUCAAAUGUGAUGAUCUAUCAGCUUAAAUCAAACCCAACUGGAAGUGAGUAACUUGGUUAUAUAGGCUCUGGGCUGUAAAUGUGACAGAAGAAUUGAACCUAUCCACGAUUUGUAGAACCUUGGUGUAUUUCAGGGAACUGGAGCUGGGGCUCCUCCCUUGUGUCAUCCUGCUAAAAUUCUUGUCUUGCUUUUGAGUUUCCUCCAUACUCCCUUCCUCCUCCACUUUGCUGCGUCACCUCUACAGCGGUCCCCUCUGGUGGCAAGUGAAGCUCACUUUCCAACCUUAGAGGCCGACAAUGUCGCCUCGCCCUCUGAGAGGAAGGUUCCCGCUGGUCAAAGGGGACCCCUGGCCAAAAACUUUAACUACAUUUCGUUUUCCAUUCUCCUGCUUAAAUCUAUUAAUUUGCACCCGUGCCAGUCUACCCCUUUGGAGAGCAAAGCUUGCUCCCAACUUUUGAGCGAGACAUUGACUCAACUUAUUAAAAAAGGCGGCGGCGGCGGCGGCGGCGGCGGCGGGGGCCAUCAGUUCAGCCUCAUCUCAGCGAGGGCGGUUCUCCAAGUAAUCAAGGGGAAACCCCUAUUCUGUUGCUGAAGUUACAAGCACUUAGUCUUUAUUCUAGUAGUCCCUUUCCGCAGGCCUGGCUCCUGCCUUGUGAAAGGGAACAUCAGAACUGUCUGUUUGCUAGCCUGAGCACGAGACUGUAAGGGUGAUUUACAAAGCUUUUAUUAUUUUUACAAGGUAAAAACCCUUUCAAGUUACACAAUGAAAAAACAAAUUGAAAUGGCUGUGAACGAUUUGCCUGUUAUUUCCAUUUGUGUAACUUUGUUUCUCGUUUUGAGAAAAAUAAGUAACAUACCUUUACUUGUAGGACUUGCGUAACAUAAUUCAAUCCUUUCCUUUUAAGCUCCCAUGACAUAAAAUGGAUGUAUGACUUCAGGAAUUGUAUGCAUGCACACUGUUUUUUCAUAUAUAUAUAUAUAUAUAUAUAUAUAUAUAUAUAUAUAUGUAUUGUAACACGGCAGGGAGGGGGUUAAUCCUCCCUGCAUGAAGAAAAAACAUGUGAGAAUGCACAUUUGUUUGAUUGUUUAAUUAGUUUAUUGUUAAUGAUCCCCUGCACCUGGUAGUUAUUGUUAAAUUAGGACCAGGUGCAGGGUAUAUAAGGGGUGCAGUCAGUCUGCUCACGGCUGCUGUCUAGAAGGAGGCAGGAAGGUGUGCUCUGCUUCCAAGCAGUCAUCAAGGGUGAAAAUACUGGGUGUAUGUGUUUUGUGUUGUGGGGAAACGGCUUAGCCGUCCCACUGUAUAGUCAGGGUGUUCCUGAGGUUUAGUUAGCGCUCCGAAGGAGCUAGGUGUUUGUUUUUGUUUUGUAUUUUGUAUUUCUGUUUGUAUUAUUAAAAGUGCGCGGAAGCGCUGAACCCCCAAUUUCAGUGUGUUGGGUCUAUUUGUAAAGGGGCAACGAACCUGUGUAAGGUGCAAUCUUAUUACAAUAUAUAUAUAUAUAUAUAUAUAUAUAUAUAUAUAUAUAUAUAUUAAAGGUUGCAAGUGCCUUCCCCCAACCUGUAUGUGAUGGGCUUUUAAACCCUGAAUGGGCGUGCUUAUCUGGUGAUGCUGUAUUACUGUAAAUGCAUGCGAGUGGUAGGGUAUAUUAUUCAGUGAUUUACUAUUUGGUGGCUGUAGUAUAAACACAUUUUAAAUAUGCAAAAAAAUGUGUAAAUGUUGAAAAUAAAAUAAAAAGCAAUUGUUUUUAA